ACAAACAUGAAUCCAUUUUUUUUAUUUCUGUCUUCAUAUCAUGUCAUAUUACUUAUAUUACAUACAUUCACAACUAAAAAAGUCAUUAUUCAUGUCAUGAUUCUAAGACGAUUCUAAUCGUCUUAAAAUGAUUAGCGGUGACAUUUUUGUAAUAAAGUCAAACACAACGACGACGUUUUCCUAGAAUCGCCUUUGAUGAGUAGAUAAGCAUGUGUGGGAUGGCAAAGUUGUAAUUUUGUACUACGGUACAAAGACAGUUUUAUCCGAAAAACCGUCUUUGUUUGCUUACUCAUUUCAGUAUCGCGUGAUUCCUUCACUGCUAACCCGACAACACAAAUUCUUCGCCCUAGCUAGCUGUCGCUCCCGUGACAUCAUCGCAUCAUGCCCUCUGUGAACCCCAGGCCACUCCGCCGUCUCCCGUGCCGGUCCGCUAUCAUCUUGGUUUGAGUGCGAUUGAAGGUCACCUACUGGGUUCCUUAGCUGAGGCUGAGCCCCAAUUUAGGUAUGCAUGUGAUCCUUCCAAGCAGUAAGUUCCUCCCUUCCCCUUUCUUUACCUAUUAAUUAUUAUUCUCAACUUCGUCCCCUUCUCCUUAAUUCUAUUGCCACAAAGAAGUUGUAGUACGAAAGAGAAACAACGGAUCCCCUAUUAAGUUCCUCCUUCCUCAUGCCCCUGUUCUCCCUCUAAUUCGUCUAUCGCUACGGCAUAAACCCAUCUUGAGAGAUUGCUUGUUUACUACUGUGUUGGUUGGGGCCUUUGCUCAUGGCUUCUAUUUGAUAACAGAUUUGUAGGAUAUUGAGAGCAAGUGAUUAACCAGAGCAUGUUUUAGACAUUUCAUUGGCAUCAUUUACAUCACAACCUCAGGUCUUCAAUAAGUUUCUUUCACCAUUAUUUACAGCUCAACAUUCUGGUAAUGCCUUAAAUAGCAUUGGUCGAUUUAAACGAUGUAUGAAUAUUUUUUUCAAUUAUAUUGGCAGAUUAUUAUGUUAUGUACGCCUUAUAGUUGCACCUUGUAUUGCAGUUUUUGCUUUCUCUAGAAUAACUAUGGAAUUCAGAGGAUGUUCUUUGAUCUUUUAUUUUGUCUGUCUUCAUAUCAAUGCUAUUUCUUGUCAGCUUGAUGUUGAUUUCUGUAAUAAUUAGAUGCUCUAAGUGGAUUCAGAGGAUCAAUAUGCAUAUCCUUUAUCGCUAUGGAUAAUUUCGGUCAUGUUUCAUUUGUAGUUGGAUCUGAUGUAUACAUUCAAUGGGGGGGAAUGCUUGAUUAGAUGUCUUGUGUCUUCAUUUUACAUUAUGUUGGAUUAGAUUAGAUGAUAUUCAUAUUUAAAUGUGGUUUGUGUUCCAUUUACGUGGCUUCAUAUCUGUUUUUAGCAGUGCAUUGCUCAUUUGACAAACCAUGGUAUACUAGUGUCUAGUAUGACUAUAGAUCACUUGAUGUUUCAGUCAAGUUGGUUGACUGCCCAGUUAUGCCUCCUCCAUUUUCAAUGAAAUAUAAUGACUUGCAAGAAUAGUUGUCCUACGAUGAACUAAGCAUAUUAACACAACUUAAGCUAUGUUCGUGCAUAACUAGUUCUUUCAUAAAUAUGACUUAGAUUAGCUACCUAGGACUACUUUGCUUAACCAAAAAAACAUUAACAGAAGGGAGCAACUAAAUUGUAUAGAUCGACUUUGCUUGCUGCACUAGCUACACUAAAAUUUCCAUGAACAUGAUCUAUGUUCCACAGACCAUCCCAUAAAACUUCUUCUGCUGAGGUCUCUGGUGCAGAAGAAGCAUAAGAGUUGUCAUUAAGCAUAAAGUACAAGUAUCCUUGCUCUUCUAUGGUGUUUUGGUGCAUGUUCACCAUUUCUUGUCUUCAUUGAGAUAUAUAAUAUGAUCUAUGGACCCUUCCGUUGUUCCUA